rnacentral:rRNA from 1 species
UACGUAGGUGGCAAGCGUUGUCCGGAAUUACUGGGUGUAAAGGGAGCGCAGGCGGGAAGCCAAGUCAGCUGUGAAAACUACGGGCUUAACUUGUAGACUGCAGUUGAAACUGGUUUUCUUGAGUGAAGUAGAGGUUGGCGGAAUUCCGAGUGUAGCGGUGAAAUGCGUAGAUAUUCGGAGGAACACCGGUGGCGAAGGCGGCCAACUGGGCUUUAACUGACGCUGAGGCUCGAAAGUGUGGGGAGCAAGCAGG